GCUGCAGUAGCUCAGAUGGCAGAGCAGCUGAUUCGUAAUCAGCAGGUCGGAGGUUCGAGUCCUCUCUGCAGCACCA
rnacentral:tRNA from 1 species